rnacentral:rRNA from 1 species
AGUGAACGCUGGCGGUAGGCCUAACACAUGCAAGUCGAACGGCAGCACAGUAAGAGCUUGCUCUUACGGGUGGCGAGUGGCGGACGGGUGAGGAAUACAUCGGAAUCUACUUUUUCGUGGGGGAUAACGUAGGGAAACUUACGCUAAUACCGCAUACGACCUACGGGUGAAAGCAGGGGAUCUUCGGACCUUGCGCGAUUGAAUGAGCCGAUGUCGGAUUAGCUAGUUGGCGGGGUAAAGGCCCACCAAGGCGACGAUCCGUAGCUGGUCUGAGAGGAUGAUCAGACACACUGGAACUGAGACACGGUCCAGACUCCUACGGGAGGCAGCAGUGGGGAAUAUUGGAAAAUGGGCGCAAGCCUGAUCCAGCCAUACCGCGUGGGUGAAGAAGGCCUUCGGGUUGUAAAGCCCUUUUGUUGGGAAAGAAAAGAAGCAGGUUAAUACCCCGCUGUUCUGACGGUACCCAAAGAAUAAGCACCAGCUAACUUCGUG